CAAAAUUAUUUUCCUUUCACCAGUUUAUCGAAAUCAUCCGUUGAAUGAACAUAUAAAACCAAAAGUAUUAAAAAUUAAAAAUAAGCACAUAAUCCUUUGAAAUUUUUGAAAUUUUAUUAAAUUCUACGUUCUAUUCCGAAGAAAUCUUCUGAAAUGGCUGGUGGUCGUUGCUGUGUCCCUUCCUGCGGCCCCUGCCCGCCCGCUUGUGGGCCGUGCGGCCCCUGCUUUCCUCCCAGCUGCGGCCCGUGCUGUCCGAACGUGACCAUCUAUACGUGCUGCACGAAGAUUUGCUAACGUGUCACCGUGCCACAAUGCAGGAUCCCUUUUUUGAUCGUUGAAUAAAAAAUUUGAAAAUAUAAAUUC